ensembl:snRNA U6 U6 spliceosomal RNA
AUGCUGGCAUGGGCACCCUACGUGCUAAAAUUGGAACAAUACUGAGAUGAUUACCAUGGCCUCGGUGCCAGGAUGACACACACAUUUGUGAAGCGUUCCAUAUUUAG